rnacentral:rRNA from 1 species
GACAGAGGGUGCAAACGUUGUUCGGAAUUACUGGGCGUAAAGCGCGUGUAGGCGGCUUUGCAAGUCGGGCGUGAAAUCCCAUGGCUCAACCACGGAAGUGCACCCGAAACUGCGUAGCUGGAGUCUCGGAGAGGAAGGUGGAAUGCUUGGUGUAGAGGUGAAAUUCGUAGAUAUCAAGCGGAACACCAGUGGCGAAGGCGACCUUCUGGACGAUGACUGACGCUGAGACGCGAAAGCGUGGGGAGCAAACAGG